UAACGCGUGAGGAACCUGCCUCAAAGAGGGGGACAACAGUUGGAAACGACUGCUAAUACCGCAUAAGCCCACAGCUCGGCAUCGAGCAGAGGGAAAAGGAGCAAUCCGCUUUGAGAUGGCCUCGCGUCCGAUUAGCUAGUUGGUGAGGUAAUGGCCCACCAAGGCGACGAUCGGUAGCCGGACUGAGAGGUUGAACGGCCACAUUGGGACUGAGACACGGCCCAG
rnacentral:rRNA from 1 species